GCCCCUGCAAGGGAGAGAAGCAAUGUUGGAGCUGUGGGAUCGGUGGUUUUCAGGGUCCUGGAGCCAGGUCUGGAGCAAAGCUGCGCAUGUGUAUCUAAGCAGGACAGCGGAGAAGCAUGUGCAGGUUGUAGCAGCCCAUGACUGUCCUCGGUGGUUUUCUUUGUCCAACCAUACAUGCUUAAAAUUGACAACAAGAACAGAGCUGCUGACGAAAAUAGUGGGAAAAACUUCUGCAAGCUUUGGGAUGAGUUGGGAGACCAGCGAUGUGCAAGGUGACCAUCUUUGAAACCAGACUUACUGGCACUGUUGUGCUUGCACUGAAUUGCUGUGAAAGGAGGAGCAGAGUUUCGGCAGAAGGUACUUUGGAGACCAAAGCCAAGAAGAGCAGGGAGCAGUGUGUACAGCUCAUUAAUACUCCCUGGCCUGCAGAGAAGGUGUCAGCCCAGCCUGGCCCCCGCACAGCCCUGAACCUGAGGCCCUGGAGGAGGCUGCAGGGCAGGGGGGACACCCAUCGCCUUGCUGGUACCAUAGCGUAGGAGAAAAAUUUAGCCCAAGAUAUAACACACAGCAAUGGUUUCUACCAGCACGAUGAGCAGCAGUGAGAGGGUGGCUGCGUAGUCAUUGAAUAUGUCAAACCAAUAAUUUCCGGCCUCCAUGGUGAAGAUUAGGCCAAUCACACAGUUAAUGAAACACACAACACCUGCGUGGAUAAAACAGGGACCCUGCUGUUACACCUGGAAAUCUAAUUGCAUGGGGGAAAUGUCAUACUUCUUGUGACUAAAAAGCUGGUGGGAUUUCUACUGAUUUCUGCAGGGGAGCAGCUUUUUCAGAGGAGGAAGGGCCAACCCUCUCCCCUGCCUUCAGACAGACCCAUCCCAGGGUGCAGGACACCAUGGCUGCCAAGGCAUAUGCAAGCAAGGCAUCAUGGGCCUGGCCUCGACCUGUGUUUCGUGGUGAGGAGAAGACACUGCAAUGCCCCUGGGGAGCUCCUGGAGGGGGACACCACUGCCUCAUUUUUCCUCCCAGAAAAGCGCUUGGAGGGUUUCUGGAGCUUUUGCCCGCCCCACCCCUCGACCCCAGCUGACGAAGGUGCCAUCAUGCAACAUCCAGCACCAAUACAACGCCACUGCGACCCUCCGCAGCCACAGCGGGGCCGAGCUGUGCCGCCGGGCACCCACACACCUGGAAGGAGUGGAAGAGGUACCAGAAGGCCCAGGCAUUUAUCACGUUGUAGUACAUGGAGAGGAAGAAGGAGACGAUGACACUGGCAACACCUGCGGGCAUGGAGGGAGGCACUCGGUUAAUCAAGUGUUCCAGUUUUGGUUGCAUUUCAUAGAAUUUUCACCAUCUACUACACUGCUGAUGGCUGAUAAGCUAAAGCACGCAGAGCCCCCCCCCAGUGUCUGAGUUUUGCUGCCUUCAGGAUGUCUGCCAGGAUAGGCUGCUAGUGAACUAAUCACAUGCAGUUCAACUGCAUACAGAAACACUUGCAUUUUAAGCUUUGUGCUAGAGUUCAUUGUCAGACAUGAAGUCUUUACCCUCAAAAGCAUCUGUGUAGAAGAAUACACCCAGAAUUGCAGCAUGUCUGUCACGUCUGCUACCUGAACCAUCUAAGAAAGCUUCAGCCACUGCAGCAUCUAGCCUCUACUGUAACUUCACCCACUGUAUUACCUGGAUUUUUCUGACCUGAUCCCAGAGAGCAGCUCUGAUGCAGUCCCAGUGCUGAGCUGGCUUUUCAAAAACCAGCAUGAACCAACUCCUACCACCACAUGUCUAUUUAGAAGUAAGCUACAAGCCAACAAAACAAGCACAAAACAAGCAAAAAGCACUCAAACACCUCAGUAUGUUUCUUCCUGAAAGGAAGAAAAGGUGGAAGCAGACCAGAAGCAAAUGAAGCAGAUGCUCAUUGUGUCACUUACUUAAUGCCCAACUGAGAUGCGUCCAACACUAUGACAAUGGAUGCAGUGCGAGAAUCAGUAUAAUACUGGGAUGUCUUAUAAAGACAGGAUCUCUUUAAGGAUUAUUCAAAACAUGGUCAUUAACCAGUGGUAGCUGUAUACUAGAAGAGAUUAUUAGUGUUUGGUUUUAAUUAAUCUAAUUAGCUGACUUUUGAUUUCUAAGGAAGAACAUCUGUGGCUGGUAUACAAUACAGACAUCACCUUUCUUCACUUUGGACCUUGGAGAAGGAUAAACUUUCAAAGAGCCUUUUUCUGGAGCCCAAACCAAUUCAUUCCCUGUUUUCAAAGCUUCCCGGGAGGCUUUAGCUGCAGAACUCCUGUCGAUUAAGGAGUUUCAGCCAACUUCAAGGCAGAUUCGCAGCCCAGUUAUCACUUCCUAAAGUAAGGCUUUGUAUAAAAGACAACACAUUGAUGACAGAAACUUGAAAGGAUACAGCUGAUCCUUAAAUUAAAUCAGCGUAGGCAUCUCCCCUUCUCAGUAUGUUCCAAGUCCCCAUAUGUGAACCUACAAGGAACUGAACUAGUUUCUGAUGCCUUCAGAGUGGUUCAACGGGGCAAGAAAGUAAUAAAUUAACACCAUGUGGACCUACAUCUCUCACUCUACCUCCAUCCUUUAAGAAAACACGGGCCUUCCCACUAUUUCAUUGCACUUCUAGGAAAUGAGUGCCACUAUAUUGGGGCAGCUGUCAGGUAAAAGCCUUAUACUAAAGAAUAUGUAAAAUAAAGCAGCAAUAGAAGAGAUUGCACACCAACAAAAAGCCUGACCUCCUACUCUGCCCUGGACCUUGCUGGGUGGACAGGGUGUAGCAUGGACAACAUACUGUUGGAUUUAAAGCUUGCCACACUCCUCCUCGAGGGAAGCAAGAAACAUAAACC